UAACUCAUGGUGUUGGGUUUUCCUGGAA
rnacentral:piRNA from 1 species